rnacentral:rRNA from 1 species
GCCUACGGGGGGCAGCAGUGGGGGAUAUUGCACAAUGGGGGGAACCCUGAUGCAGCGACGCCGCGUGGGUGAAGGAGCGUUUCGGCGCGUAAAGCCCUAUCGGCAGGGAAGAAGGAGGACGGUACCUGACUAAGAAGCCCCAGCUAACUACGUGCCAGCAGCCGCGGUAAUACGUAGGGGGCAAGCGUUAUCCGGAUUUACUGGGGGUAAAGGGGGCGCAGACGGCAGCGCAAGCCAGGAGUGAAAGCCCGGGGCCCAACCCCGGGACUGCUCUUGGAAAUGCGGGGCCGGAGUGCGGGCGGGGG